GCCCUUUUCCCAAAUCAGGCCCAACAGCCUGCUCCUGCCCAAAGACCUGACCCGGCCCACAAUUCCCAUGCUUACAACCUCCAUCCCAGCCGUUUCAACCCCAAAACGACGUUCAACGGUAACAUCAAUUCAACAGCAAAAUCCCAAAUCGUCCAUUUUUACCGUUUAACCCUUUUAGUACAGCCAUCCACGGCCAAAAAACCAGAAAACUUUCAAUCUUUCUUCAGUUUGGACUCACUAUUUCGGGCAAAGAAGUACCCCCAACGUCUCUUCUUCACCUCUCUCACUGCGAAAAAAAUCAGUUGGAGUACAAGACUUUUAAUGGUUUUUCGUCCUGCUGUGGACCUGAAUUUUUCAAGUAAUUCAAUUCAAAAUUCGAAAUUGAAAUCCGAAACCCUAGCUAUUUCCCUCCAAUUUUCCCCUAUAAAUAGAUGCUAAGAAGAAAGGGGUGAGAGGAGGAUUUUUGGGGAAAAAUUGGGGGUUCUGAAGGUGCUUGCCUUUAACCUCACGAAACCGAAAUUCUCAAAGAACUGUCGAAAUAUCGGAAUUCGACGUUCUUGUUCAAAUUCUAUUGGUUGGAAUCAACUCGAGGUGGUGGAAUUUCAUUCGACUGAAAGCUCGUCGUCUCGGUGUCGCUGCCCGAAAAUCGGACUGUGGAGUGUAUGUAGCUGAGUGUGCAAAAUACCUAAGCGAAGGAAUUGAUGUGCUUUCAAUUGGUUUUGAAGUAGAAUAGGAUCGUAUGCAAUAUGCGUUGCUCCUUUGAAAUUUUGAUCUUUCAGAAAGUGGAGAAAUAUUAUGUUAGUGACAAUGACGACCCUCCAAGAUCAAGGACAAAAAAUGUCCCCCUACCUGAUAAAGCUGGAGUAGUUAGCAUUGAGUAGGCUUAAAGAUGUUUAAGGUAAAGACUUUUUAUUUCUGUUGAUUUGUUAGCAAUUUGAUUUUCAAACUAAUUUAGGUGUUUUAUAUGUAUACAGUUGCUACAACACAUUGACUAAUGUUUUUGAAUUAUUGAUUAAAUUGUGUGUGCAUAAAA